CAGUAACUGUGUCCCUCUCAGGUUUGGACACAGCACUUGUUUGCUUUGCCUCUGGAGUGCACCUGACCCACCAGCCCAGGUCUCUGGACCAGCUUAGGACUCAGAGGCAGCUGGGGGUUCAAGGAAAAGUGUUGGAUUGUCCUAGGCUUUAUAGGAUUACAGGAUCCCAGGCGGGAUUACAUCCAAGAUCAUCAAAUAAAUAUAAAUCCUUGUGCAAAUCUGAAGCAGAGCCUUCAUGCUGCAGUAAAUUGUUGCCCAGCCCAUGCUGCCUUUCACAUCCAUUUGCAGGUAAUAGCUGGAUUGGGGUCUCAGCCUUACCUGCACCUCACUGAUGUUUCCCUUCCUUCCUUAGCAAUGAGAAAGAGCCUAAAGAGAGAGGAUCCAGGAUAAUGAGCAUUGUCUGCUUUUCCCCUUUGAGAAGUCCUGGAGAACAUUACUGGGACUCUUAAAAUACUUCUACUUCAUUUGGAAAUGCUAAAGCAAGAACUUCAUCAGUCUUCCUGUGUACUUUUAUAUAUGGGUGAUGGCAAUAACUUCAGUUGGGCUGGUGGGGGUGAGACUCAAAGGCUUCUGUAGAAAUGAUUCUGAACAAAUCAGUCCACUCACUACCGGAACAUCUAGAACAUUUCAUUGUGCCUUUCUGUUCCUUUCACAUUCAGGUAGGCCACUUACCCUGUGGUCAUUUCUUCAGGCUUUCUGCUCCAGCUGUGAACUCUAGAAAUAAAUUACUGUAAGGGAAAGGUGGAAUAUGGACAAAGUCAUACCACUGCAGUGUCUUUGUACAAGUCCUGGAGGUGGAGAGCUCCAAGCUGGAUGUGUGAUAGUGUAGUGCCCCCUCAUGGGAAGCUGUUCCUGAUGCUGAUUCCUGACUGCAUCCAGUUUGUCUUCUGGAAGGGAUGUGUGGAAUAGAAACAGUGAAGUCGUAAGACCAGAGAAGACAGAGGCCCAGAGGGGGAAAAGGUACUGAUGACAAAUUCCCCUGCAGGCUCAGACAUUAAUCCUUUGGAAAAGUGAGUGUCAGGAGCCUGGUUAUGGAGCCAUGGGGCCAUUUAUGGACAGCCUUUGCUGGAGAUUGGAUUGGAUUGGAUUGGAUCAGGAACUGAUGCAGCUAAAAAUAACCAAGGGUAGACUGGGAAACCAUUACUUUUCAGACACUGAAAUUUCAAUCUGCAUCCUCCUGCAGCUGCACACAGAGCUGCACUGACACCACAAACAGAGCUCAGGAGGAAGUGACCACAAGUACACACAGAAGAGGAGAUGAGGCUUUUGGAAGAAAAGAAGGUGGAACCAGAGCUCCAAUGGGAUGAGCAGAGUAGUACAAACCUGGCAGCUCCACUCCUCAGAGGUACUUAGCAAGAGAUAAGCACUAAUUCCAGCUAUGUGACGUCCGCUUGGAAGAGAUGCCUAAACUGAGCCUCUUCUGAGGAUACUCCUUGUGUGCAAAAAAGGGCACAUUUCUGUUCAAUGCCUUUGUUCUGUUUUCUCUUAACUCCCUGCUGCUCCCCCCAGGCUCCUGUUUGAUGGCAUGGAUUGCAUGGUGGCAUUACCAACUUGAGGAAUCCCGAGAUGUUCGUUACCACCUGCCCAACACUGCAAUUUUCCCUCACUUGUGCCAGCCUUGCUGUUUGUGGAGCUGUGCUGAGCACUGGGUCAGGGAAGCAAUCCAAAUUAAAAAUAACCCAGUGCCAUGGCUGGGGGUGGCAAGAGCUUUAGCCCUCCAGGAUAAUCUGCAGUCACAAAUCAGCAAGAGCUGCUUGCCAUUUCAGAUGCCAUGAAAGCCCAGCCUCAGAGAUACCUAUUUAAUACAAGGAAUAUGGAUCUUCCAGCGAGUGAAGGAGCCUGGGGAAUGAGGAAGCAGGAAUCCUUUGCCCAUGUUCAUAAGGGACACAAGAGCAAACCUCACUGUGCCCAGAUGGCAGCACAAAACAUCUUCACACAGGCUUUGUUUCAGCAGUCCUUCACAUGAUGCUUUUGGAACAAAAGUUAGUGGCAGUGUGUGCCAUUCCACUGAUGGAUGUUCUUUAUUCUCUGGAUUAGGGAGAAAGCUACAUGGAUUUUUAAGGGUACUGCAAAUAUGGGGGCUGUGCUAUCACCAAGAAAGGGAAUAAAAGAGCGUUCUUCACAGACAGCUUCAUGGUACAGAGUGAAGUAACAAUUCGUGGAUGCAUUCCAGAAGAGGAUGUAUUCCUCUUCUCCACUCUAGAGAAACAAUGCCACUGCUGUAAUGCACCAGCACUAACAUUCAUGAUCACACCAGCAGUGACAUCACUGUCACCUACUGACAGACUUGGAGGAAGCAUCUGUAAUUAGUCAUUCUCUCUUGUAUUCCAAGCCAUGUCUGGUUUUCUUCUGGCAUCUCUCUUCAGUUCAUGGUUCAUGCCUCCUGGGUUGAGUUUUUUUAAGUACCAGUCAUUUCCUUUUUCUUUCCCUCCUGCUUCUGACUUGGCACUUCAGCUCUGCUCUCCCCAGGAAUGUUCCUGCUGGGAGGUGACUGACUUGAGCACUGAUGGCAAAGGUGGUGAAUCCAGAGACUCAGCCUGAGGAGUUUCAGGUUCUUCUCAGGUUACAUUUCUAGAGAAAGGAACUCACUUUGUCUCCACAUGCAUUCGUGGCUCUGGUCAUGGCGAGGAGGAAGAUGCAGGUGAAACUCACACUCACAUCGGCAGCUGCAUCCCAAAUUAGCCAAAGGAAAGCAAGUGCCUGAAGCUUAGAGCAGGAUGUGGCUGCUCUGAGGCAAACCCUGAGUGCUUUCACAGCAAGCCCUAUCCUCAGGACAGCCCUGACAGGUAACAUCAAGGCUGACCAUGCCAGGGAACUUGGAUUCAAGGGUCAAAACCAAAUACCAUCAUGUUUUACUGUCUUCUUUCACCUCUCUAAAAAUAUAAGGAGUUGUGUUCAUUGAUCUUAAUUCUUCCUUCUCUAGACACAGGGAAAGUGUUCAGUUUCAGCCCCUUGAUUCCUGCAUUCCCAUUGCUGCUUCCCUUCUCCCAAUAAUUGUUAAAAUACCUUUUUUUUUUGUAAAGCAUCUUGUAGUUCCUGUUUCACCCUACGUUCCCAUAAAGGCUUGAUCAUAUGUCCAAAGAAUUGAGAAGAUGUCUAAUGUGUACUAUAUGUAAACUCUGUUUUUCCUUUUUUUGCUUGGUAUUUCUGCCUGAAGGCAUCAGGAGAAAUCCAAAGGUCAUCUGUUAAAGAAAUCAGGCAAGAAAGAAAAGCAAUUGACCAGCAAAGAGGCACCUUCUUAAGCACAAUAGCCAGGUGCAGAGCUGUGGGAAGAAAAUUCCCAGUCCCUGUACUGGAAAAGAUCUGCUAAGGCUGGGAAAAGGGACAUGGAAGGACACACACAGGCCUGUCAAAAGCUCUGCCAUCUGUAAAAGCAGAUGUGAGCUUGGAUGGACUCUGGGGUAAGCAGGGCAGGGCUGCCCUUUUGCGUGGGGAGACACUGACAGAACAGGGAUGGACACAGAGAAGUCUCCUCUGUGGUUCUGUGCUUGAAGAUAGGAAAGCACAAACAUCUCAGCCACAGGCAGGCAGAGUCCAGCAGCAUUGUGGGAAGCUCAGCUGGAGGGAGAGACAGCAGAAAAUGGCCCAAGGCAACACACGAGCAGCAGGGCAACUGUAAGAGCUCUGGAAAGCAAAAAAUAAGCAAGUCCAGGGAUUCCCCCCAUGAGUGAUCAAUAGGGUGUCUGGAAAGUUGUGACCCUUCUUCCACGCAGCUUUUAUCACCCCCAAAUUACAUUUUCCCAGCAGCUUCAGGAAGUCCAACCCUCCCCCAGUCUUCCUAGUUGUUCAUCCCAUUUCAAUCCCUUCUGCUCUCCCUUCCCCUCACAUGGUGGCCUGGUUCAGCCAUUCACCACUACAAUGGCAAAAUGCUUUGGGACACCUUGACUUUGGCUCUGUUGCCUCUUCUGGCCUCCCUUUGCUCAAUCUUCUGAAAUUUCCUCUAGUUCCUUUUUUUUCAAGAGUUGGGGGCUUCUGCUGAUGUGUCUCUGGCUAUUCAGACCAGUGUUGCUGAGGUGAAGAAGAAACAGAGCCUGAAAGCAAAGUCUCCAAUGCUUGCAGGGACACUUUUGUUUGCUAUAUCUCAAAAAAAUAUUUUAGAGAAUAGGCAUAGAAUACUUCUAAAAAUUUACUGAACACACAAAACACAGUCCAAGAUUAAAAGAAAUCUGUUUUUCCAGUCACAAUGAAGCAAAUAGUGGCAAAUAGAGCAAAGAGAGCAAAUAGUGGCAAAGAGAGCAAAUAGUAUUUCAGUCAUUACUAUUACAUGUAUAUUUUUCCUAGCAGUGGACUGGAAAACUGGACCCCAUAUAACCCAAGUGGCACUGAGAAAACAACCUCCUCAGAACCAGGCUCUUCUACCAGCAGGAUGGUGUGUCACUGCAGAGAAAAAAAGACAAACCACUUUCCCUUAUAAAGGAAUAGUGAGCACUGAGUACCCUCCUCUGGCAUUUCAGAUUCUUUCAGAAAUGGGAGAAAAUUAAGACCAAUUCCAAGAAUGUCCCUCAGCUCCAGAUUCUUGGGCUGAGAAACUGAUGGGAAACUCACUCUGGGGAAAAGAAAAAGCAAGCAAGCAAGCAAGCAAGGGAGGGAAAGGAAUGAUAAAAAGAAGGGAAGGGAGAGAGAGGGGGGAGAGUCAGGAUAACAGCACCAGGGUGACAGAUUUUAUUUCAGAGAUGUCAUUCAUCCAUUUCUCUCUCUCAGGUAUUUCUCAAGUGCCACAGUCCCACUGCAGGAUCUGAGCACUGUUAGCACAACAGAAAUUUACAGUAUUCUACAUCCCACAGCUGGCAGGAGGAUUUGGGCACCAGCUGUCUGGCAUGGAGUGUGCUAGGGAUGCUCUGCUGAAAUUAAAGAGUAGCUAAUUGGCUUUUUCCAGUAGCCUCCCACUGGUCCUGAGGGAGGAGGUGGCUGGUAGAGAAGCCAGUGAGGUGGCUGCUGUCAAAGUGAACCUUCUGAUUCUUUCCUUGUUGCACAUCCCCAGUAUGUUCUGAAUUUGUCUUGUGAGUUCAUGCUGCCCACAAAGUGAUUAAAUCCCAGGAAGAAGAGGAACAUAGCCUGUAACUUCUGCAGCAGGGUUUCAGAUUCUCCUCUCAAGCUACAUGACCACAUAAAGGGCAAACAGGCCAGGGGAAAUUAAUUAUUUCAGCCAAGUGACACUGAAGAGGCAAAACUAACAGUGGUUGUGGAAAGGAACUCCAGAAAUGUUCCUAGGCUGGUGAGCAAUCCCAUCCUAGCUGCUAGGGAACAGCUGUGAACCCUAAGGCCACUUUCAUCUGGCAUAGUUCAAAAUAAAUUAGUAAAGAUCUUAGAAAUAAA